CAGUCUGUUUACACUCGCGAUGCAAGGUUUACAAGAAGCCCCCUGAGCUAGAUUUGCUCUCCGCGGACCAGAGCAGCACUGUGGCAUAAACAACCCCAGCGAUCCAUUUCCUGGAUAUCCUCUCCCCGCGUGCACCAGGUUCAGCAAAACCGAAGACGCCUGCCUCCAGGAGAAAGCCUUCCUUGGACCUUAUGACCCACUUUUAUGGGCCCGGCGAUGUGGGUUCUGACCCCGUGGAUUGCGUUCUUGUCCAUCACGUGACCCAGGCCAAGCCCAGUCUGCAGACUCUGGGCUCUGGGCUUUGAUGCUUUUUGAAGGCUGAGUGCAAACGGCGGCUCUUAAAAACACACAGUUAAUUAUUCUCCAAGCUGGGAGCCAGGAUUUGCACCCCCGGGAGGGCUGACUGUCUUGCGGCAUCCGCCACGACAUCUGGCCCUUGGCAGGGUUUCCGGGACAUGCAGGCGGCUGCUUCUUUCUUUCCAUUCCGGAAAAAUGCUGGGGUCCUGACCACCUCCACAGCUGUGGGGGGACGGAACACCGUGGUCUGGGGCCUUCCACCCUCAGAUCUCGCUGUGGAUGAGACACUGGGCUGGGGUUCUAGGGCCGGCCCCCCCACCUUGGAUCUGGUACCUGCUGCAUCCCUUCCCUUCUCCGGACAUCUGUCCACUGCUGGCUUGGAGGAGGGAUGCGUCAUCCCAGGAAAGAUGCCCAGGGCCUGGUACACCGGCACUCAAGACACGUCUGUUAUCGGCGUCACGCCCCGAGGCCUGGGAGGCCUGCUGCUGCUUCCUGCCCUCCUCUGAUCAAGUUGCUGGACUCCAGGAUGCCCCUGGGCCCACAGGGAGGCUUUCCACCCCGACGCGGAAUCCAACAUCACAAACUACAAUCCUCCGGCACCGUUGUCUCCCUGUGGAAAUGCGUGGCUUCUGCGGACAGGCAGAAGGAAGACAAAGCCAUGGAGAGAGGACCAGCGUGUCCCAAGUUCCGGAUCCCGUCUCCAGACACACAAGCCUCCGUGUGGAAAAGGAGGUGCCUGUGCAGUGCACGGCCUUGGACACUGGGACAGAUGGUGAGUGGCUGUCCAAUUGUCCAUGCAGGGUGGCUGGCAUCGGUCCCGGCCCUGGACAGACCCACCUGGGCAGGGGUGCUGAGGCCAGGGCCUUCUCCAGUGGGGGAAGAACGGGGCUGGGGCCCUGCAGGGGUUCCUGGGGAGGCUGAGGCAAUAGGGUGUCCCGGCCCCAGCAUGUCCCUUGCCCAGCAGGCUGGCGCGGGAGCGCGGGAUCUGUGGGAGGCCUUGUCAGGUGCUCGGUGAGGGGGUUACGGGGGAUGGAACAUGGCGAGUUUUGUCCUCUGUUUCUGCUGGGGUGGAAAUGACCCAACGGUGUCCCUGGGAUAUAAAAAGGGCAUGUUUUGAUCUCAGUUUUGUGUUUAUAAAAUGCAAAGGAACUGAGUCCCCAGGGAUAGUGUUUCAACGCACCCUGGGAAUACUGCAGUCCGCGUGGGAUGGUGUUCUUGAUGAACACCUAGCUCCCCAUCCUGAAUGCAUGAAGGAUACUUUCUUUCCGGGACAUGGGACCAGGUUCGUACAGAACGCCGUGAAGAUUCGUUAGAUGACUGCAAGAGAUUGAGUUUGAAAUGUCACCAGUCAUGUUGGAUCCUUUGGGGCUCAUCCUGCAAAUAAAUUUUGG